CUUUACUGUAGCCUGGUAUUGGGUUCGGGCUUUGACUGCGCAGGAUAGGUGGGAGACUAUGAAGCAAUCCUUGUGGGGGUUGCUGAGUCAACGGUGAGAUACCACUCUGUCAGAGCUAGAAUUCUAACUAAAUGCCGUUAUCCGGCUUUGGAACCGUAUCAGGUGGGCAGUUUGACUGGGGCGGUCGCCUCCUAAAAGGUAACGGAGGCGCGCAAAGGUUCCCUCCGGCUGGUUGGAAAUCAGCCCGUGAAGUGCAAAGGCAUAAGGGAGCUUGACUGCAAGAGCUACAACUCGAGCAGGGUGGAAACACGGCCUUAGUGAUCCGACGGCGCUGAGUGGAAGGGCCGUCGCUCAACGGAUAAAAGUUA
rnacentral:rRNA from 1 species